rnacentral:rRNA from 1 species
GUGCACGCUGGCGGUAGGCCUAACACAUGCAAGUCGAACGGCAGCACAGUAAGAGCUUGCUCUUACGGGUGGCGAGUGGCGGACGGGUGAGGAAUACAUCGGAAUCUACUUUUUCGUGGGGGAUAACGUAGGGAAACUUACGCUAAUACCGCAUACGACCUACGGGUGAAAGCAGGGGCUCUUCGGACCUUGCGCGAUUGAAUGAGCCGAUGUCGGAUUAGCUAGUUGGCGGGGUAAAGGCCCACCAAGGCGACGAUCCGUAGCUGGUCUGAGAGGAUGAUCAGCCACACUGGAACUGAGACACGGUCCAGACUCCUACGGGAGGCAGCAGUGGGGAAUAUUGGACAAUGGGCGCAAGCCUGAUCCAGCCAUACCGCGUGGGUGAAGAAGGCCUUCGGGUUGUAAAGCCCUUUUGUUGGGAAAGAAAAGCAGCAGGUUAAUACCCCGCUGUUCUGACGGUACCCAAAGAAUAAGCACCGGCUAACUUCGUG